UAGCUAAUGGUGGCAUUUCAUGCUGAUGA
rnacentral:piRNA from 1 species